AACCGCCAGUGAAAAUUGAUUUCCACUGGCGGUUUUUAAAGACAACCGCCAGUGGAAAUCAAUUUUCACUGGCGGUU
rnacentral:pre_miRNA from 7 species